UCGACCUGGCUCCCCAACCUCCCACACCUUCUCCCCUGCACACUGGGAGGCCCACACCUACCCUGACGCCGGCUGUCGAGCCCACCUCCCCCUACCUCUGGCGCCACCACAACCUCUCCGCUCGGCCCCAGGUCCCCAGAUCCAACAAGCUAGCAUUUCCAUGAACAACUAGACAUGUCCUAGUGGUGCAAGAGAAGUAUCAAGGCUAGGCGUUAGAUGGUGUCUGACUCCCCAUGGGGUUCAUUCAGGAUAAGAAGAUAAUACAUAGAAGCCAUCAUCGAGAGUCUGGAAGAAACAUGGGUAAGAAAGAAAUCGAGCACUUGGAUACCCGUUCUCUGGGACUUUCUUGUGAGGAUCAAGUCUGAACAAAUUGUUCUAGUGGUGCUCUGUACGGGUUGACACUUAAUUCGUGGAUGUGGUUGCCUUCAGGCACGCGCUGACACCCACAAAGUGGCGUUUCAGAAGUCUGACUUGUCCUUCAUCUACAUGAUGGGACAUUUGUCUAGCGCUAUCCAAAUCGACGAAAUAGAUAAUCAGGAGGACCACAUGUUCCAGAAGAUUAUGGACAUCUGCAUCCAGCAGCUAAGGGAGUGCUACUGUAGCAUGAAGAAAUGAGUAUUUAACUUAAAAAUGUGCAACAGUUAAGAACCUAAAAAAAUGAAAAAAAAACGAGAGUUAAGUUUGUAUUUCUUUGCAGCGAUUGAACUUUCUCUUGCGUUGUGCGUCUUCCUUCUGUU